AAACAACACGGCUCUAUGACAAAUUUUAUUUAAUGACUAUCAAAUCCUAGUUUAAACUAAAUGAAUCACAGGGGCCAAGGUGUUAUCUCGUGUCCGCUACUCAUUACGUACAAUAACAUGUUGCUUCUACUAACGUGUCCUAGUACAUAAAUCACUUUCGUCUAAACUAACACCGAUUUAAUAAACAUUUUCUUCUCUACUUAAGACAAUUUAACUUACUCGUUGCGGUUCGGCUCGCUUCGGUAUCUGAAGAAAGACCAAUUUGAACAUACUCGCGUUUUGGUAAGAAAACGGAUGUAUCCAGUUACCACUCUUUCUUUACUUAUAUUACUCCAUGGCCUCACUGUUGUCGCGGUGGAAUUUGUUAUAUUUAACAACCGAAGACUAAGGGUCCUUGUUUGAGAUACUAUCUUCUCCUCACCCCCGCGAAAUCCGGUCCCGUUUAUACUUAACUUUUUAAUUCACGAAGUGUAAUUGAUUUUAGUCAUUUUCAAUUUAAUUCAGUCUUUAAUCAUUAUUUUAAUCAAACUAACAAUAAAGACUGUUGUUAGAAACAAUAA